AGACCAAGUCCGACCCUGUUUACGGGCGCGCUGCUGGGGGAGAACACACCGGAGGGGGUGGAGAGUCAGAGAGAGAGAGAGAGAGACGGAGAGAGAGAGAGAGACUGCAAUAUCAUUUGUGAAUCCCUCUCACAGUGCUGCAGAUAGGGGCUGCCAACACAUGCGGCGCGUCUGCAGGUGAGGGAACAGGCUGAAUGUGCUGGACAACAAUUCGACCAACGUUUCCUUAAAACUGCGUCGGAUGUACAUUUUUGAUUGUCCUCGAGUGAUAUGUGUUCCUCUUAAAACAUCCGUGGCAUUUUGGGGUUGCAAAGGGAGAGAGAACUGUACCGCCCGCUCGCCGCAAGUGACUUGGAGGAAGAGAGCGGAGUAGGCAACCGGACAGGUAAUUUGCUUCAUAUUCAGGCUCCGCGCGCAGACAAACCUCGCUGUCUGCUGAGUUGGAAAACUGCGCGGGCCUUUAAAUGAUCCUCUGACAUAUGUGGACAUAUCAUCGGACAGAGGAAUAUUGCAGCCUCACCCCCCCAAAAAAAGAGGAGAUUCGAAGCACAGACUGUGAGUAAAACGGCGGCAUAUGGAAUGAAUUCACUUUCUGGUGACAUGAUUCUCGGACUAUAACAUUUUGGCUGAUUACGCGCAUUUGUGGAGGCGCACGUAGGCCUAUAGGCUCUACGGUGAGUUUUAGAUAUUAUUGCGUUUUUCUUUUCUUUUUUACUCAAACAAGGAAAGAGAAACUAACACCCGGAGCUGGAGAAGGAAAAGCAGAGAACAGACGAGCAGCCCGUGCACUUGCUGCUUUGCACUGCAGCAGGAGCGAUGUGAAGUCGUCCGGAGGAUGAAGACUCACGCAUCCCGCUGCAGAGAGCUUUGCUCUGUAUGAAAACGAAAUUGUACCUUCCAUAUUCGGACUCUCCGGCAGUGAUUCAAUUAUUUUUUGGACAUUUUUCUUUUUCAAAUCUAACUGGACAUUUUUUUUCAGACGAGAACAAUGAGGACUACUGGUGCAGUGGACUAUUUGUACUAUUGCCUGCUCAUCCUGCAGCUUGUGCAUCAGCCCGCUGCCAAGCAAGUGCUCCGGUACCGUUUGGCUGAGGAGGGACCCCCCGAUGUAAGAGUAGGGAACGUAGCCGGCGACCUGGGCAUCGUUGCCGGGUCCGGCGAGGUGACAUUCACGCUGGAAUCAGGCUCAGAUUUUUUCAAAAUAGACAACAUUACAGGUGAGCUCACCACCAAUGAGAGACGCAUAGACCGUGAAAAAUUACAGCAGUGCCAAAUGAUAUUUGAUGAAAAUGAGUGCUUUAUAGAUUUUGAAGUGUCAGUGAUUGGACCAGCCCAAAGUUGGGUCGACCUCUUUGAGGGAAAAGUCAUCAUAUUAGAUAUAAACGAUAACACCCCGUCUUUCCCAUCUCCUGUCCUGACACUGUCUGUGGAGGAAAACAGACCGAUUGGAACCCUUUAUUUGCUGCCCACAGCCACAGACAGAGAUUUCGGCAGAAAUGGAAUAGAGAGAUACGAGCUUAUCCAGGACAAUGGAGAGAACACAAGGCGCUUGAGCUCUUCUGGGGAUUCAUUCUCGGGGAAGAGGAGAUUUGAUGAAGGCGCAAGCAGGAGCAGCGUCUUUGAACUGCAAGUUGCUGACACUACUGAUGGAGAGAAGCAGCCUCAACUCAUCAUUAAAGGGGCCCUUGAUAGAGAACAGAGAGACUCCUAUGAGCUCACACUGCGUGUUAGAGACGGAGGAGAUCCCCCUCGCUCCUCUCAAGCCAUUCUAAGGGUGAUGAUCACCGACGUGAAUGACAACAACCCUCGGUUUGAGAAGAGUGUGUAUGAAGCUGACCUACCAGAGAACAGCUCCCCUGGUGCACCCAUACUGCAGCUUAAAGCGGCUGAUGCAGACGUGGGGGUUAAUGGUCAAAUAGAGUACGUGUUUGGGGCAGCCACAGAGUCAGUGAGGAGGCUGCUGAGGCUGGAUGAGAGCACAGGGUGGCUGAGUGUGUUGCACCGCAUUGACCGUGAAGAAGUGAGCCAACUGAGGUUCACGGUAAUGGCCCGUGACAGAGGCCAGCCCCCAAAAAUGGACAAGGCCACUGUGGUGUUGAACAUCAAGGAUGAGAAUGACAACGUUCCUUCUAUAGAGAUACGUAAAAUUGGACGCAUUUUCUUAAAAGACGGCAUAGCCAACGUGGCUGAGGACGUGGUGGUGGACACACCCAUUGCCUUAGUUCAGGUGUCAGACCGUGACCAGGGGGAAAACGGCAUUGUGACAUGCACAGUGGUAGGGGAUGUUCCCUUCCAGCUCAAACCAGCCAGUGAGAUGGAAGGUGAGCAGAAUAAAAAGAAAUAUUUCCUCCACACGUCCGCAACGCUGGACUAUGAGGCCACACAGGAAUACCAUGUGGUCAUAGUGGCUGUGGACUCUGGAAGCCCAAGUCUGGCAAGUAAUAACUCUGUUAUCGUCAAAGUGGGCGACACUAACGACAACCCUCCUAUCUUCAGCCAGAAUGUAGUAGAGGUGUCGUUUCCAGAAAACAAUGCCCCUGGCGAGAGGGUGACAACAGUGGCAGCCAUCGACGCAGAUAGUGGGAAGAAUGCUGAAAUAGCUUAUUCCCUAGACUCAUCAGUAAAUGGGAUUUUCUCUAUCGAUGCAGACAGCGGAGACAUACGAGUAAACACCAUUCUGGAUAGAGAGCAAACAGAGCGCUACGAAUUCAAAGUGAUAGCCAAAGAUAAAGGCAUAAAUACUCUACAGGGCUCUGCAACCGUGGUCGUCCUUGUGGCAGACAAGAAUGACAACGAACCAAAGUUCAUGCAGGACGUGUUCACCUUCUACGUCAAAGAGAACCUUGAACCAAAUAGCCCAGUUGGGAUGGUCACAGUUAUUGACGCAGAUAAAGGCCAAAAUGCAGAGAUGAGUCUUUUCAUUGAGGAAGAGGAGGAAGUCUUUUCUAUUGAGAAUGACACCGGGACUAUUUUCUCCACCCUGUCCUUUGACAGAGAGCAGAAAACUACAUACACAUUCCGUGUCAAGGCUGUGGACGGUGGUGAUCCUCCGAGAUCUGCCACCGCCACAGUUUCACUCUUAAUCAUGGAUGAAAAUGACAACGCGCCAACUGUCACUUUCCCAAUAAACAGCUCCUACACCCUUCUACCUCCCUCCAGUAACAUCAGAACAGUAGUCAGAACUGUCAUAGCCACUGAUACCGACACCGGCAUCCACGCGGACUUGAACUACAGCAUCAUCGGGGGAAACCCCUUCAAGCUGUUUGAGAUUGAUGGGGGCACUGGGGUCAUUUCGCUGGUUGCGAAGUUGGAGCUGAAGCACUACGGCCUCCACAGACUGGUGGUCCAGGUGAACGACAGGGGCCAGCCUUCACAGAGCACCACCACACUAGUCCAUGUGUAUGUGAACGAGACACUUUCCAAUUCCACAGUUGUGGACGCCCAGGUGGCUAAGAGCCUGAGCACGUCUCUCAACACCAACAUUGCUGGUGACCCCAACUAUGAUCUGAGCAAACAGCGGCUAAGCAUUGUAAUUGGAGUAGUUUCGGGCAUCAUGACGGUCAUCCUCAUAAUUCUAGUUGUCGUCAUGGCCCGUUACUGCCGCCCCAAGAAUAAGAAUGGCUACGAGGCCGGUAAAAAGGAUCACGAAGACUUCUUCACACCACAGCAGCACGAUAAGUCCAAGAAGCCUAAGAAAGACAAGAAGAAACAGAAGUCUAAACAGCCCCUCUAUAGCAGUAUCGUCACCGUAGAGGCCUCCAAACCCAACGGGCAACGCUACGAUGGCGUCAACGAGAAGCUGUCGGACAGUCCUGGCAUGGGUCGCUACCGCUCGGUCAACGGAGGGCCGGGGAGCCCAGAUCUGGCCCGGCACUACAAGUCCAGUUCACCACUCCCUACCGUCCAGCUUCACCCGCAGUCGCCGACAGCUGGAAAAAAGCACCAGGCAGUUCAGGACCUGCCCCCUGCCAACACCUUUGUUGGCACCGGAGAUAACAUUUCCCUUGGAUCUGACCACUGCUCUGAAUACAGCAGUCAAACUAUCAACAAGUACAACAAACAGCCGUUUCGCCGAGUGACCUUCUCGGUGGUGAGCCAGCCCCAGGACCCUCACCAGCAGGGAUCGCUGCAGAGCUGCUACGACAGCGGCCUGGACGAGUCGGAGACGCCCAGCAGCAAGAGUUCGUCGGGCCCCCGGCUGGGCGCCCUUCCCCUGCCCGAGGACAGCUACGAGAGGACAACGCCGGAUGGCAGUGUCGGUGAGGCAGAGCACAUGGAAAAUGGUAGGGGCAAACACUGAAGGAGAUUAAGAACAGGAAACAUACACAUACUGCCUAGACACGUACAGAAAGCAACCCCGAAGGUAGACAGUCCUCAGAAACACACAAAAACAUGUGAGGUUCGGCCAUUUUUUAUUAUUAUUUGUUACCAAGUAGACAGUUCUGUAAGUGUUUUGAGUGCCUGAGGAUUCCUGGUUAGUACUGUAAGCGAAUCAAGUGUGACGUGGUGUUGAGGCCGUGACAUAGAAGCCGUUGCAACUUUCACCAAAGCUAAAGCCCCUCCACGAAUGUACAUCGUGUGAAGACGAGGUGCGGGAUUUAUAAUAAAACCUAUGGUUCUGUUUCAGAAGACAGCAGGCUUAUUUGAUCAAAGGCGCUACACAAGGGAAUAUAUGUAACAGACGUAUUCCGUAAGAUCAACACCUUUUCAGGCCGUCUCACUCCCUUUCAGUUUGCAGCUCUUUUUUCUUUGCAAUCCUUCAUUCGUCGUCUUGAUUUCAACCCGACUGAGGAUAGAUUUUGUUCGAGAUCUCUUUGAGAUGAAGUAAAGGAGGAGUAGCAGCGGGGGGUAAAUACCCCACUUGAAUUGUUUAGAAGCUGUACCGCUGUACUGAUUUGCAAUGAGUGCCGGCUUGAGGCCCUUAUGAAGGAGUUUAUUUUGCUACAAUUGGGAGAUGGAGCUGAUGUUCUGGAGGUUGUAAUGCAAAAAAAAAGACUGCA